rnacentral:tRNA from 1 species
UAGGGUAUGACGUAAAAGGUUAACGUGUUUGCCUUGGGCGCAAAAAAUCGUAGGUUCGAAUCCUACUACCCUAA